rnacentral:rRNA from 1 species
ACCAGACUCCUACGGGAGGCAGCAGUGGGGAAUAUUGCACAAUGGGGGAAACCCUGAUGCAGCGACGCCGCGUGAGUGAAGAAGUAUUUCGGUAUGUAAAGCUCUAUCAGCAGGGAAGAAAAUGACGGUACCUGACUAAGAAGCCCCGGCUAACUACGUGCCAGCAGCCGCGGUAAUACGUAGGGGGCAAGCGUUAUCCGGAUUUACUGGGUGUAAAGGGAGCGUAGACGGUGAUGCAAGUCAGAAGUGAAAGCCCGCGGCUCAACUGCGGGACUGCUUUUGAAACUGUAUAACUAGAGUGCAGGAGAGGUAAGCGGAAUUCCUAGUGUAGCGGUGAAAUGCGUAGAUAUUAGGAGGAACACCAGUGGCGAAGGCGGCUUACUGGACUGUAACUGACGUUGAGGCUCGAAAGCGUGGGGAGCAAACAGGAUUAGAUACCCUGGUAA